GAUGAACGCUAGCUACAGGCUUAACACAUGCAAGUCGAGGGGCAGCAUUUCAGUUUGCUUGCAAACUGGAGAUGGCGACCGGCGCACGGGUGAGUAACACGUAUCCAACCUGCCGAUAACUCGGGGAUAGCCUUUCGAAAGAAAGAUUAAUACCCGAUGGUAUAAUCAGACCGCAUGGUCUUGUUAUUAAAGAAUUUCGGUUAUCGAUGGGGAUGCGUUCCAUUAGGCAGUUGGUGAGGUAACGGCUCACCAAACCUUCGAUGGAUAGGGGUUCUGAGAGGAAGGUCCCCCACAUUGGAACUGAGACACGGUCCAAACUCCUACGGGAGGCAGCAGUGAGGAAUAUUGGUCAAUGGGCGCAGGCCUGAACCAGCCAAGUAGCGUGAAGGAUGACUGCCCUAUGGGUUGUAAACUUCUUUUAUAUGGGAAUAAAGUUUUCCACGUGUGGAAUUUUGUAUGUACCAUAUGAAUAAGGAUCGGCUAACUCCGUGCCAGCAGCCGCGGUAAUACGGAGGAUCCGAGCGUUAUCCGGAUUUAUUGGGUUUAAAGGGAGCGUAGGUGGACAGUUAAGUCAGUUGUGAAAGUUUGCGGCUCAACCGUAAAAUUGCAGUUGAUACUGGCUGUCUUGAGUACAGUAGAGGUGGGCGGAAUUCGUGGUGUAGCGGUGAAAUGCUUAGAUAUCACGAAGAACUCCGAUUGCGAAGGCAGCUCACUGGACUGCAACUGACACUGAUGCUCGAAAGUGUGGGUAUCAAACAGGAUUAGAUACCCUGGUAGUCCACACAGUAAACGAUGAAUACUCGCUGUUUGCGAUAUACAGUAAGCGGCCAAGCGAAAGCAUUAAGUACUCCACCUGGGGAGUACGCCGGCAACGGUGAAACUCAAAGGAAUUGACGGGGGCCCGCACAAGCGGAGGAACAUGUGGUUUAAUUCGAUGAUACGCGAGGAACCUUACCCGGGCUUAAAUUGCAUUUGAAUAUAUUGGAAACAGUAUAGCCGUAAGGCAAAUGUGAAGGUGCUGCAUGGUUGUCGUCAGCUCGUGCCGUGAGGUGUCGGCUUAAGUGCCAUAACGAGCGCAACCCUUAUCUUUAGUUACUAACAGGUCAUGCUGAGGACUCUAGAGAGACUGCCGUCGUAAGAUGUGAGGAAGGUGGGGAUGACGUCAAAUCAGCACGGCCCUUACGUCCGGGGCUACACACGUGUUACAAUGGGGGGUACAGAAGGCAGCUACCUGGUGACAGGAUGCUAAUCCCAAAAGCCUCUCUCAGUUCGGAUCGAAGUCUGCAACCCGACUUCGUGAAGCUGGAUUCGCUAGUAAUCGCGCAUCAGCCAUGGCGCGGUGAAUACGUUCCAGGGCCU
rnacentral:rRNA from 1 species